GAGGCGAUAUGCACGCCACGCCACGCCGGCAUGAGCCCCUCCCCACCUGCACUCUUGCCUGGCAUCUCUCUCUCUCUUCUCUCGACCUGCUCACCCACUGGUAGUAAGGCAAGCUCCGGCUUCUUCUUCUUCUUCACUUCUUCCUCCCGUUCCAAUCGCGAGAUGGUAUGCUCCAGGUUCACGAGCGAUUGAUCAGGUGACCCGCGCUUCGGCCUCAUCGCUCGUCGAAUCCGAGGCCGCCGCGAUCGAUUCGGGCACGAAGACCCGCCCCACAACCGCCGGUCCGAUUGCCGCGACGGAAUCGGUGGUGAAUCAGCCUGUUGGGUUCCGGCCAAGACCAAAUUCCCGAUUUUUACUGCAAGUCUGCAAGGAGAUACAGACAAACAGUCCUGGACUCCGCACUCCACUGAUACGGUGAUACCUGAUAGAUAGCAGCCGCGAGCGAGCAUGGGCGGUGUUGGAUGGAGGAGGCUUGGUUCCAAGCUGCAGCAGAGAUGGGGCUGGGACUGGGAGAGCCGCCUCCGCGCCCGGGGCUACUCUUCCGCUCCUGCGCUUCCACCCCACAUGGAGAGCGUUGGAUUCAUAGGGCUUGGGAAUAUGGGCUCCCACAUGGCAAGGAACCUGGUGAGGGCUGGAUACAGAGUGUCAGUUCAUGAUAUAAAUGAGGAUGCCAUGAAGAAGUUCUCGGACGAUGGAAUUCCCACGAAGCGGUCGCCGCUUGAAGUGUCUGAGUCGAGCGAUGUCGUAAUCACCAUGCUGCCUUCCUCUGCCCAUGUCUUAGAUGUAUACAGUGGUCGGAAUGGCUUGCUCGGUAAUGGGGGCCGCCUUGGACCGUGGUUAUACAUAGAUUCAUCCACAGUUGAUCCUCAGACAUCAAGAAAGAUAUCUAUGGACAUGUCAAGAUGCAGUUUAAAUGAACAGAAAGGCUAUGCCGGAAAACCGAUGCUGCUGGAUGCUCCGGUGUCCGGAGGUGUUCCUGCUGCAGAAGCUGGGACGCUAACUUUCAUGGUGGGUGGUUUAGAAGAAACAUACAUAGCAGCGAAGCCGUUACUUCUCGCAAUGGGCAAAAAGCUAAUCUACUGCGGCGGGGCUGGUAAUGGCUCGGCUGCAAAGAUCUGUAACAAUAUGGCCAUGGCUAUCAGCAUGCUUGGGGUCUCUGAGGCCUUUGCUCUUGGUCAGAAUCUCGGGAUCAAAGCAAGCACUCUCACAGAUAUAUUCAAUUGCUCUAGCGCCCGAUGCUGGAGUAGUGACACAUAUAACCCAGUUCCUGGAGUAAUGGCAGGAGUGCCAUCGGCGAGGAAUUAUGACGGUGGUUUCACCUCCAAACUAAUGGCUAAAGAUUUGGAUUUGGCUAUGGCCUCUGCAUCUGGAGUUGGCUUCAAAUGUCCCAUGGGUUCUGAAGCACUUGAGAUUUACCGGAAGUUAUGCGACGAGGGCUGUGAAUUCAAGGAUUUCUCAUGCGCGUUUCGCCACUUCUACACCGGCAAGGAUGAGAAGUGAUCCCUGUAGCUAUCCCAGCAAACUCAACACUGGUCGAAAUAAAACAAUAAUGUUCUCCAAUCGAUUGAAUUUAGGUGUUAGUUGAACAGUGCCCAGACAAGGUUUUGGAAAAUAAAUAUAGAAAGGACUCCACCACCGGAUAUUCAAAAGGGGACUGAUCUGCGCCGGCCCAAACUUUCGGCCGGCCGCGCGCGAGCCGCAGGAUCCACCAACCCCGCGUCGUUCGCACCGUUGGAUCCGCAUGCAA